rnacentral:lncRNA from 1 species
AGUGCAACAUUAACUUGACAUUAUCUUUGUUGUCCUCAAAUGAUCUUUCAUUGCUUAUAUAUAAAUAUGAAAGUCUAGUCACAAUUAAAAUAAAUCCAUGUUACUCCUAUUUUUCUUUAUUAUUAUUUUUUUCAUCUUAUCUGUUUUGACUUAUAUAUUUAAAUACAAAUAUAAUUAAUACCUUUUAUUUUUACCUUUAAUCAUUUUUUCCUUUUAUGUUUAUAAAAUUUGAUCAGAGAUCAAAACUUACCGCAAGUUUUGUGGUCUGCCGUCUUUUAUGUAAAUGAAAUUAAGCUUAUUCAAAAGAAAGAAACGUGAGAAAGAGAAGAACUCAAUGAAAUUGAGCUUAUCCAAAAGAAAGAAACGUGACAAAGAGAAGAAAUAUAUUACUAUGGAUAUGAAAGCAGGAUACAAGAGGGCCAUGUGGGUGUUUCUCCGAAGGGCGAAGGAUGCUAUGUACACGGAAUCUCCCGUGCUUUACUUUAAUCAAUUUAGUUAAUAUAUUACAACAUCGAAUUAAUUUUAACACAAACUUAAUAAGAAUUUAUCUUGAUAUUUAUAAAUAUAAAUAUAAAUCUAUAAUUUUAAUAAAAAUUUUAUUUUGAUAUUUAUAAAUUAAGAGUGAUAUAUAAUAAUAUAUGAUGAUCGCUCAAAUAUUAAAAAAGUUAUCACGAUUUAACAAAACUUUUCGUAUACAGCACGUUAAUGAAAUUUGAAACGUUUUUCAUCGUAUUAAAAUCACUUUGUUCAAGGACCUUUUUGAUUUAAUAUUAACUACAAACAGACAAGAAAAUGGACUGUGAUGACACAAGAUGCAGACCGGGGUUGGCCUGCCAAAAUUGCAGAUGGGAUGGACCAGGAUAGCUUUGAGAGGGAUUUGAUGGUUAGCUGGGCAAUCUUGCAUAGCAGAAAUUUAUUUGUAAAAUGCAAUGGAACACCCCACAAGAUACGGCGAGGUUUGCUACCAUAUCGAGAAGUUCAGGAAGACAAAAAAGGUGUUGUAGGUACAAGACCUAAUGACGCUGAGGACUGGGCUGCCCCACCGGUUGACAUUUUGCAAGCGAAUUUUGAUGGUGCAAUAAAUGAAGUGAUGGAACAGGAGGCCUGGGGGUCGUGACACGAGACAGUGUUGGCGCUGUUGUUGGGGCAUCUUCCACAGUUUUAGUAGGAGUUAAAUCUCUCUCAAUAAUUUAAAUUAUGACAACGAUCACAUUUUUAAUGAUAU